AGCUUCUGUUUUUCUUCAAACAAAGUGACAGUUAAUAGUCAGGCUGAGCCUUCACAUGGAGAAGGAUGACUCUUCGUGACUGGAAAAGAAGGAGGAGGAUGCUCAUGAGGAAUGCCAGACAACAGGAGAGCGCAAGUUCUUGAACACGGAGUCAGUCAUUCAGGAGGAACGAUACGAUAUACAGUAUGUGUUUCCACAGCCAAGAAAGAAGGACAAUCAAGAAUAUCUAAGGUCGUGUGGCAAUCUGAAAAAGGCAAGGACUAUGUGAAGAAAACCAUGCUGAGAACCUCAGUCUCUGAAGAAUGCCGUGAGCCCUCCUGAAUACAAACC
rnacentral:lncRNA from 1 species